rnacentral:lncRNA from 1 species
AUGAGUUUGAAAGAUAAAUUACAGAAAAUACCUUAUCACAUCCCGUAUGCGAUUGGCUUGUAGGAUAUUAUUUUUUCAAGAUAGUCUCUUGGGGUUUCAAUUAAUUAUUUUAUUGAUUAAAAAGAUUAGAUCUCUCUCCCUCUCCAUACCUCACCCUCUCUCCCUCUUCUCUUUCCCAUACCCAAGGGUUGGGCAUCCAUCAUCCGCACAUCUG